rnacentral:tRNA from 1 species
GAGAACUUAGCUUAAUUAAAAUGUUCGAUUUGUGUUUGAGUGAUGCAAGGUAAAGUCUUGUAGUUCUUA